CGGCCGGCGGGAGCGGGGCGCGCGGGGCGCCCGCCUUUGUUUCCUUUAACUCCUCGGGCCUGGGGGGGGGGGGGCUUCUUGCUGUUUUAUACCUUUCCUUUUUUUUCCCUUCUUCUUCCUCCCUUUUUUUCAGACGCAUUUUUUUUCUUUCUUUCCCUUCUUUCCCCCCCUCUCUUUCCCCCCUUUUUCCUUCCGGCUUCGGCAAACGGGAGCGGCGGGGUUCGUGCACUCGGUGCUGCGCUCGCACCCCGCGGCCGCACAGGGGCCGUACCCGGCUGAUCGCGGGGGGGGGUCCGGCAUCCCUUCGCCCCCGCGCCCGCAGCGCCGUGUUCCUCGCGUGAGAGCCUGUGAUCAGCGCCGGCCUCUCUGGGAAGCAACACCAGUCUCGUUCCAGAAGAACAAAAUAACAGCGUGAGGCUGAAACCUGGCACGGACCGGGGGAACGCGGCCAUCUGCCCCGCACCGCACGGAGCCCCGCGGCCGCGGAGCGGGCGGAGGGCGCAGAGCUCCGGUGCUGCCCUCCUCCUCCUCCUCCUCCCCUCCCUUCCUCGCUCCUUUCCCCGCUCCAUCCCUUCUUAGGGAAAAGCGGUUGAAAGGAGAAAGGCAGAGAGCACGAAUGGGUGCCCUCCCCGCGCUGCGUUGCCGGGGGUAUGGCCAGUGUGAUGGAAACAAGGCCUGCCAGCUGGAUACAACUUUCAGAGAGCUGGUGGUGAAGUUCUGCUUUUCCAGCAUAUUGUUCUUUCAAGUCAAGGAAGGUGUGCAUUGAUCAUCACUGAGUCGUCAUUGUCAGACCUUCCAAAGUGAGGAGAAAGCUGUGCAAAAUGAGUGGACAUUAAUCUAGCAACCUGCCUCUCUUUGUGCCUCAGCUCACUGGCAGUAAUGUGAGGUUAAUGAUACACCCUCAUUCCACAGGUUCAUUAUCAGAAAUAAGGUAAUUAACAUCUGUGAAUGGCGCUAAUUUAAGAGUGGAGAAGGCCAAAGAGAAGGCUAUGAGAAAAUUAUUACUUCCAUCCCAAGCACGACUUGAGUGGAACAAGGAAACAGAGCAAACACUGAAGGAAAUGAGGGCCUGUGGAGCAUAGCAGGAGUCCAGCAUAGAAAUAACACUUCAUUGUGGAAACAAGAAUCGUAUCACAGCAUGACUGGGGCUACAAAGACCGCCUUAGGCCCAAUAUUUCCUAGUUUAAGUGCUUGACUUUGCAGUUGUAAUAUCAUACUUCCAACAAAGUUCUCCCGGGUGCCAUAGCCAUUGAAAUAUUUACGUCUGUAGAGGGAAGAGUCUCUCCUGCGUUCUCUGUAAUUACACGGUGCCUGUGGUGUGAUGGGGGUUUAGUUCAGUGGUUGCUCAUUAAGCAAUAAGCUUGGGCUGCCCAGAUGGUGACUUCUUUGUUCCUUGUCCUCUAAGUACACAGUGACCUUCUGGGUUUCCUUCUCCCCACAGCUGCAAACUUCUCCACUGUUCCCCCGGUGAGGAAGGAACCACUCCACUAGAUUCUCUUCUAUUGCUGCCUCAGCAAUAUGGUGUUUGAGGAGGAACAGUGUUGAAGCCUCCUGUAUUAUAGGAGGACUGCAGCUUUUGGAGGAGCAAAGCAGGCUUCUAAGGUGGUCAAAGGCUGAAGACCCAGGGGAGCUUAAGGCAAAGCUGUGAAGAACUCAUUUUUGGCAAAUAAAAAUGACACUCAGGAACAAUUUGGCUAAAGUGUGUCUUGUGCGUUUGGAGGUCUAGGUUAUAUUGCUGUGCCAUGGCUUCUCUGUAUGCUCUUGGGCCAGACAUCUCCUUGUUGAAUCUCCAGUUGAAAUAGGUGUAAAAAUAAUUCUCUACGGAAGGCAAUGGGAAUUUCAGUCUACGCUUAGGCACUCUAGAAAUGCUGUUGUGGAAAAAAAAAAAAAGGCUACUGAUUUUAUUUUUGUAAAGACCUUCCAGACAUCCAAAAUCUCAAUGAAGUCACUAUAAGUGGGGACUUCUUGCAGAACUCUUUCAGAGAGGAUGGGGACAGGGUUGGUGAAGUCUGGGGAUUUGAGGGUUUAGGAGAGAGAUGAUGGGGAAGAUGUGGUGGGAAUGCUGUGGACAGAGGCUUUGGGGCCAGCAGCUGGAGUGAAGGAGGCUGGUAGCUAUGGUCUGGGAGUAGCUGCGGAAUUGGAGUUCUGAGAUGGUUUAAGAGUCCUGGGUGGAGAGAUUGGGUAUGGGUAUGGGAAGCUGAGAGGCUUGGAAAAGUUGAGGGAAAUGGAUUUUUCUUUCUGGCGGCCAGAAAUGAUGUGUAAUUUCUGUAGGAUGAGAGAUUUUGGGAAGGCCAUCAAUAGAAUCCAGGCUAGUGCUCCAUGUUUUGGGGCAUAUCUGCAUGCUCAAACUGGGGACUGCUCCCAGAAGGCUACUGCAUCCGGUUUUACUGUCAUAAACAUGUUAACCAUAUGUAUGCAUAUGUUAACCAUAGGUAUGCAGCGAGCUUUAUCCAUCGUUCAGCUGUGCUCUCAUGUUUGCCACAUGACCUUCACAAAACAGUUAUCACUAAGUGGGAAGCAGACACAUCUGGAUGCAUCCAUGCCUCAAGAGAGUCACCAGGCAGUCCAUUAAUGUAACUAAUUCUUGCUUUCUCUCCCUGCUCCCCCUUUUGUGACUCAUCCCACUUUCUUUCCACCUUAAGUAGAACUGUUCACUUUGUGUCUUUCAUUUGUGUCUUUCUAGUCGUGGAAUCAUAGAAUCAUUAAGGUUGGAAAAGAAAAUUAAGAUCAUCUAGUCCAACCAUCAAUCUGAGAUAGUCUGGACCAGCAGUCUUUAUACUGUAUGUCUAGCUUGGUCUCAGAGCAUAACCCUUGUAAGUGGACAUGUACUGCAGUACAGAGCAUUUAGUGGAUGACUCAGUUACACUGCACACAGUAUUAUUUAGGGGCAUGAUGUCAUGACAUAAAGAACAGUUGUAGGAUGGCUUUCAAAAACAGGUAGAGCUGCACGUACGUGUGCUCAGAUGGUAAAUAGCAGGCUGGCUGCCAUUCUGUGUCAAAGAAAAAUUCCCAACAUAGCAAUGCUGGUAAUGGAAGCUGUCCUCCUCAUCUGUCCAUUUUCAUUUACUAUAUUUCACCUGAAAGCCCUCUUUAAUCAUAAGCAGAUAGGAAAUUAGUUAUUACAGAGUGCCACAGGUGUGCACAGUGCUUUACAAACAUGUGAGGAGACAGACUGCUGCCCUGAAGAACUUGCAAUUGGAUUUAGACAAAUACAAUAGGAAAGAAAAAAGUAUGGGUGUUGAAACUCAGAGCAGACAAAUAAACGCCUGUAUACAGCUGCAUCAGUCACAGUACAUGGAAAUAUUCUCUCUUCUGACUCAAGUAUUCAACUGUGUCACAUCUACUGCUGGAGCUGACAGACCGGUUGUACCUCAGGUAGAAAAUGCUUGUAUUUUAAUGCUUGUGAUGUCGGGAAUCAUUAAACCAAUUUAAAUUAAAAGACCAACUGGAAGGACAAACUUAUAUUUCAGGAUGACCCGCGGCAUCUAAACUGGAAACAAUGACCAAACUAGGAGAACUGAAGUCAGAAUUCGUUUGGUUCAGAUAAUUUAUGCUCAUGAUGUAAUGCUGAUGUAAUUUAUGCUGCAUUGAGUGCUUUGUUUCCUAUGAAAUUUGACUGUUCAACAGUGUGAUAUGGGUAAAACUUAAGGUUUUUUAGAGAUUACACCUGUAGUAUACACAUGUUUAGUGGUCUUUCUUGUGACAAGAAGAAAUUGAGGAAGAAAUAAAGAAAAAAGAAGGAAGGAAGGCAAAAGUAGAAGACAGAAUGAUAGAACCAUGAAAUCAUUAAUGUUGGAAAAGACCACUAAGAUCAUCCAGUCUAAUCAUC